rnacentral:pre_miRNA from 1 species
CGCGGAGGCCAGAUCUGGCCGUCCGGCGGCCAGAUCUGGCCUCAAGACCGCCAAAUUUGGCCGCCGGACGGCCAGAUCUAGCGGCUUGA